rnacentral:misc_RNA from 1 species
UCAAACUUGGUCAUUUAGAGGAAGUAAAAGUCGUAACAAGGUCUCCGUUGGUGAACCAGCGGAGGGAUCAUUAGCGAGUUCUCCACUCCUACUACCCCGCGAACCUGUCCAGAGUGAAGUGUUGCCUCGGCCGGGGCCCCAGGGCGGGGCGCUGAGCCUGGCCAAGCCAGGCCCCGGCCGGCGGCCCGAAGCCCAGAAGUUCGGAUCGCUUCCCCUUCUCCGCUUCUCCCUACUUUCCUUCUUCUUUUUUUCUAUCUUCUUCUUCUUUAUUGGCCGCGCCCGUGCGGCUGCUCUGAGUACGCGGGGUAAUUCGUGAACAACUUUCAACAACGGAUCUCUUGGUUCUGGCAUCGAUGAAGAACGCAGC